UACGUAGGGGGCGAGCGUUGUCCGGAAUUACUGGGCGUAAAGGGUGCGUAGGCGGCCUGUCAAGUCAAUUGUGUAAUCCCUGGGCUUAACCCAGGAACUGCAGUUGAAACUGAUAGGCUUGAGUGCAGGAGAGGAAAGUGGAAUUCCUAGUGUAGCGGUGAAAUGCGUAGAUAUUAGGAGGAACACCAGUGGCGAAGGCGACUUUCUGGACUGUAACUGACGUUGAGGCACGAAAGCGUGGGGAGCAAAC
rnacentral:rRNA from 1 species